rnacentral:rRNA from 1 species
UACGAAGGGGGCUAGCGUUGCUCGGAAUCACUGGGCGUAAAGGGCGCGUAGGCGGCCAUUCAAGUCGGGGGUGAAAGCCUGUGGCUCGACCACAGAAUUGCCUUCGAUACUGUUUGGCUUGAGUUUGGUAGAGGUUGGUGGAACUGCGAGUGUAGAGGUGAAAUUCGUAGAUAUUCGCAAGAACACCAGUGGCGAAGGCGGCCAACUGGACCAACACUGACGCUGAGGCGCGAAAGCGUGGGGAGCAAACAGG